UUUUUCGAGUAUAAAUCUGCGGCCAGACCCAGGUGCGCAACAAGGAGACGAGCCUUCCCUGCCACUACUACUAGUACUACAUCUCCGAAGAAUCUACAGAGAUCUUCAUCCCCAACUCAGCGGCAGGCAAGAACUAGCCAUUUCUUUUCUUACUCUCAAGGCUGUUGUUCUUCAUGAUGAAGCCUCAUUUUUUUACUGCAUGUAGUAAGCUAGUUUGUGGAUGCUCUUGAUCCAUUGUAUCUUCUCACAACUAAGUCUAUCUUGGAUGUAAAGUGUAAGUUUGUUGAAGAGAGAAAGUCUAUGAGCUAUUUCUUGUCUAUUUAUAGCUUUGUCAACGUGCUUGUUUCUUCCAAGUUCUAACCUCUAUCUUUUCACAACAACCGAAGUAUGUCUCACAGACUAAGAUGUAUAAGUAAGCUGAAGAUAAAUGCUGUAUCAGCUAUUUCUUGUCUGCAGCUAUAAAUUUCGUCAUGCAUGUGUUGUUCUUCGAAGUUCCAACCCAUGUGUCUUGUUGACCUUCUAGCAGUAAAUCAUGCAACUUGCUAGUUGUAUACCCCCCCCCCCCCCCCCUUCUAUUAACCAAUUAUCUUGCUUGCAUUUGUGCAGUAAUUGUUUUCAAGAUGGCCAAUGACGAGGAUUCACUAGAGGAUCAAAACCCUAAAUCUUGGACUGUUAGCAACGCUAGUAUCGUGAGUUGAUGCUACCUUUACUUUCAGAAAGGAAAGAGCGUACCAUGCACCUUGUGUUUUUUACUUUACUAUUUGUUCUUGUUUUUAUUUCUCAGAUUGACAAGAAAGAAGAAGCAUCCAGCAAGUUCUCGGUCCAGGAUCAUCAACCACAAAGAGCAGUAGUCAACUUCUUAAAGGAUGAAAGUACUACCAAAACGAUCCAUGAGCAAUGGCAAGAAAAAGCUAAGGUUGUCUCGUAGCCUAUAAGCCGGUGUUAUCCCGAAUGAGCUUUCUUAUCCCAAACCCUCCCAUAUGUCUCUUGUUAAAUCAUUUUCUGGCUACUCCUCGUGUCAGAAUUAACGUUCUUGACCUUGUAAGGCCUUUUCUUGACCUUGUAAGGCCCUCCCCUAACGUUUCUCGUGCAUCCUGGUGUCUCCAACCUCACACUUCCUUCCCCCUUCUAUCCCUCCUGAGCUAUUCCCUAUUUUGUACGUCUACAAUCUAGAUGAGAUAUAAUAUUGAAAUAAAAGUCUGUGGCAAAUUAGGUUUUUAUUUCCAUGUGAGUGCUACUAUAUUUUAUGGUGUGAUUUCUAGCUACAAACACAAAAUAUAAGAAAACAUAUUGAUCAAUCG
rnacentral:lncRNA from 1 species